AGUUAGAACAGGGAAGGAUUUCCUGGAAUCUGAGCAUACUCCACAAGCUUUCCAACAAAGUUCCACUUAAGAUUUGAGACAUCCCAGUCACCUUUACAAUUUGAAAAUAGUUGUGGAAAAUUUAUCUUUAUGGAGCAAGUGUCAUCUGGAGGAGACUGGAAACCUGCCAUUUGGUACCACGUCAAAACACUCACUCGACCUGAAUCCAUAUUCCAGUUGUUGUCAUGAUGUAGCAACUUUUAUCUUGAGCUUAACAUGUAAACAAAAUACUCACCAUGAGGCAAGAUGGAGGUCUCACAGUUCUUUGGAUUUAAGUGUGUAUACUUCUCUCAAUUUCUUCCUUCUACAAAAGGACUGCAUCCUUUGGCUAGGUUUUAAUGAAACAUUUCAAACACCCAAAAUGCCUAAGGAUAAGAUAGUCGAUACUUAACGAAUGUACCA